AUUGAACGCUGGCGGCAGGCUUAACACAUGCAAGUCGAGCGGUAACGAUUCUAGCUUGCUAGAAGGCGACGAGCGGCGGACGGGUGAGUAACGCGUAGGAAUCUGCCUGGUAGUGGGGGACAACCUGUGGAAACGCAGGCUAAUACCGCAUACGCCCUGAGGGGGAAAGAUGGGGAUCUUCGGACCUAUCGCUAUCAGAUGAGCCUGCGUAAGAUUAGCUAGUUGUGGGGUAAUGGCCUACCAAGGCGACGAUCUUUAGCUGGUCUGAGAGGAUGAUCAGCCACACUGGGACUGAGACACGGCCCAGACUCCUACGGGAGCAGCAGUGGGAAAUUGCACAAUGGAGAACUCUGAUGCAGCCAUGCCGCGUGUGUGAAGAAGGCUUUU
rnacentral:rRNA from 1 species